CACCGGCCUCCCCGCGGCAGCGACAGGGCCGCAGUUCCGCAGCUGCCGGGCAGGGGGCGCCGCGCCACAACGUACGGGCAGCCGGGCACAGCGACGGCAACCAGCCCGGGCUCGGCAGAGCGAAGAGGAGCCGGCAGCCCGCGGCGCCGAGCCCGGCUCCGGCUGCAGGCGGCUGGAUCCGGCAACCCGCGUGCCGCUCUCUCGAUGAAGGUGGUGGUGGAGCGGGCGGUGCCCUCAGCCCCAGAAGGGCGUAUUCAAAUUCCUAAAGAAAGCUUUGAAAGAGAUCCAAGGAGGCAAUCACAUGCAUGUGCAACUAUUUUUUUACCAGGCAAGAAUAUAUGGAAUGUGGAUGGAGUUUCAGCAUAGCUCUGCAAAUCUGUCCAGUGGGGAUCAGGGGAGGAUUCAUGUGAAGUUUGUUUCUCAUUGAAGAAUAACAAAAUGCCACAAAACAUAAGUUUUUGAGCUUGUAAAUGCCUGUGUUCUUUUCUUGGACACUAGCCCCAAACCAAGCUAUCAGUAUAGGCGAGUAUGUAUACGUUCCUAACAAACACUUUACAUAAGAAUAUGAAAUGCUAGAUAAUGUACACUAAAAAGCUGGAAAAGAUUUGAAGUGAAAUGAAAAGCCGCAAAUUCCAACAGUAAAUAUAUUUUGAACAGUUUACACACUUUAAUAGUGUAUCUAUAUAUUCUUCCUCCUGACUU